rnacentral:rRNA from 1 species
CAGCUUGCUGGAGUGGAUCAGUGGCGAACGGGUGAGUAACACGUGAGCAACCUGCCCCUGACUCUGGAAUAAGCGCUGGAAACGGCGUCUAAUACUGGAUAUGAGAAGGGUCCGCAUGGGCACUUUCUGGAAAGUUUUUCGGUUGGGGAUGGGCUCGCGGCCUAUCAGCUUGUUGGUGAGGUAAUGGCUCACCAAGGCGACGACGGGUAGCCGGCCUGAGAGGGCGACCGGCCACACUGGGACUGAGACACGGCCCAGACUCCUACGGGAGGCAGCAGUGGGGAAUAUUGCACAAUGGGCGAAAGCCUGAUGCAGCGACGCCGCGUGAGGGAUGACGGCCUUCGGGUUGUAAACCUCUUUCAGCAGGGAAGAAGCGAAAGUGACGGUACCUGCAGAAGAAGCACCGGCUAACUACGUGCCAGCAGCCGCGGUAAUACGUAGGGUGCGAGCGUUGUCCGGAAUUAUUGGGCGUAAAGAGCUUGUAGGCGGUUUGUCGCGUCUGCUGUGAAAAUCCGGGGCUCAACCCCGGACUUGCAGUGGGUACGGGCAGACUAGAGUGUGGUAGGGGAGACUGGAAUUCCUGGUGUAGCGGUGAAAUGCGCAGAUAUCAGGAGGAACACCGAUGGCGAAGGCAGGUCUCUGGGCCACUA